GAUGAACGCUAGCGGGAGGCCUAAUACAUGCAAGUCGAACGGCAGCAGGCAUAGCAAUAUGUGCUGGCGAGUGGCGCACGGGUGAGUAACGCGUACGCAAUCUACCCCCAACCGGGGCAUAGUCACGGGAAACUGUGAAUAAUUCCGUAUGAGGUUGAGUGGCCGCAUGGCUGCUUUACCAAAGUCUUCGGGCGGUUGGGGAUGGGCGUGCGUCUGAUUAGCUAGUUGGUAGGGUAACGGCCUACCAAGGCUACGAUCAGUAGGGGGCGUGAGAGCGUGGCCCCCCACACGGGGUACUGAGACACGGACCCGACUCCUACGGGAGGCAGCAGUAAGGAAUAUUGGUCAAUGGAGGAAACUCUGAACCAGCCAUCCCGCGUGCAGGACGAAGGCCCUCUGGGUUGUAAACUGCUUUUACCAGGAAGAAACGAGUGGACUUGCCCGCUCCUGACGGUACCUGGGGAAUAAGCACCGGCUAACUCCGUGCCAGCAGCCGCGGUAAAGUGUG
rnacentral:rRNA from 1 species